CCCGCUGAACUUAAGCAUAUCAAUAAGCGGAGGAAAAGAAACUAACAAGGAUUCCCUCAGUAACGGCGAGUGAAGCGGGAAGAGCUCAAAUUUAAAAUCUGGCUUACUUGUAAGGCCGAGUUGUAGUCUGAAGAAACGUUUUCCAUAAGCACAGAGGCACAAGUCCCUUGGAACAGGGGAUCAUAGAGGGUGAGAAUCCCGUCCAUGGUCUCCAAUUGUUUAUUAUGUGAUACUUAUACAGAGAGUCAGUUUGUUUGGGAACACAGCUUAAAAUGGGUUGUAAAUUUCAUUUAAAGAUAAAUAUGGUCGAGAGGCAGAUAGCGCACAAGUGCUGUGAGGUAAAGAUGAAAAGUACUUAGAAAAGAGAGUUAGACAGUGCGCGAAAUUGUUGAAAGAGAGCUGUUAGAAGCCAGUCUAAGUGACUGGUGCUCAGUGUGUGACUGUUGCAUGAAUGCACUCUCGGAGUAAGGUAGGCUCAACGACAGUUUAGAACUGCGAGAAAAAAAUUUGGCAAAUGUGGCCUUCGGGUGUUAUAUUACCUUAUGAAAUAUCAUAAUGUGGAGUGAGAAUCGCAGUAAAAAGGUGUGCAGGUAGACUUCCUGUGGUGAAUGCUUAUUAGGACAGCUUAUUGACCUAGUCUUCAUGAGCCUCGACUCUUCGCGCUUGCUUCUAAUUUGCUUAGGUCGUUGGCAUAAUGGCUUUAAAUGACCCGUCUUGAAACACGG
rnacentral:rRNA from 1 species